CGCUGGCGGCACGCUUAACACAUGCAAGUCGAACGGAGAAUUUGGAUUAUCGGAAUUCUUAGUGGCGGACGGGUGAGUAACACGUGAGCAACCUGCCUCUGAGAGAGGGAUAGCUUCUGGAAACGGAUGGUAAUACCUCAUAACAUAACGAAGCCGCAUGACUUUGUUAUCAAAGAUUCAUCACUCAGAGAUGGGCUCGCGUCUGAUUAGAUAGUUGGCGAGGUAACGGCUCACCAAGUCGACGAUCAGUAGCCGGACUGAGAGGUUGAACGGCCACAUUGGGACUGAGACACGGCCCAGACUCCUACGGGAGGCAGCAGUGGGGAAUAUUGCACAAUGGGGGAAACCCUGAUGCAGCGAUGCCGCGUGGAGGAAGAAGGUUUUCGGAUUGUAAACUCCUGUCUUAAAGGACGAUAAUGACGGUACUUUAGGAGGAAGCUCCGGCUAACUACGUGCCAGCCGCGGC
rnacentral:rRNA from 1 species